UACGAAGGGUGCAAGCGUUACUCGGAAUCACUGGGCGUAAAGCGUGCGUAGGCGGUUCGUUAAGUCUGCUGUGAAAGCCCUGGGCUCAACCUGGGAACUGCAGUGGAUACUGGCGGACUAGAGUGUGAUAGAGGAUGGUGGAAUUCCCGGUGUAGUGGUGAAAUGCGUAGAUAUCGGGAGGAACACCAGUGGCGAAGGCGACUUCCUGGCCUGUUCUUGACGCUGAGGCGCGAAAGCUAGGGUAGCAAACGGGG
rnacentral:rRNA from 1 species